rnacentral:rRNA from 1 species
GCCUGAUGCAGCGACGCCGCGUGAGGGAUGACGGCCUUCGGGUUGUAAACCUCUUUCAGUAGGGAAGAAGCGAAAGUGACGGUACCUGCAGAAGAAGCGCCGGCUAACUACGUGCCAGCAGCCGCGGUAAUACGUAGGGCGCAAGCGUUAUCCGGAAUUAUUGGGCGUAAAGAGCUCGUAGGCGGUUUGUCGCGUCUGCCGUGAAAGUCCGGGGCUCAACUCCGGAUCUGCGGUGGGUACGGGCAGACUAGAGUGAUGUAGGGGAGACUGGAAUUCCUGGUGUAGCGGUGAAAUGCGCAGAUAUCAGGAGGAACACCGAUGGCGAAGGCAGGUCUCUGGGCAUUAACUGACGCUGAGGAGCGAAAGCAUGGGGAGCGAACAGGAUUAGAUACCCUGGUAGUCCAUGCCGUAAACGUUGGGCACUAGGUGUGGGGGACAUUCCACGUUUUCCGCGCCGUAGCUAACGCAUUAAGUGCCCCGCCUGGGGAGUACGGCCGCAAGGCUAAAACUCAAAGGAAUUGACGGGGGCCCGCACAAGCGGCGGAGCAUGCGGAUUAAUUCGAUGCAACGCGAAGAACCUUACCAAGGCUUGACAUGAACCGGAAAGACCUGGAAACAGGUCCCCCGCUUGCGGUC